UUCACUUGAAUCAAGCUACUCCCAGCUUCUGCACACAUCUGGUCCAACACUACUUUGGGAUAUGUUUUGCUAAGGUUGCUGUUCUGCCUGGAAGGCCCUCAUUCCUCAGCUGCAUGACCCGAGGUUUCCUUCCUCUAAGACCUUGCUAGCGGCUCCUAGAUGCCUUCCAAACCAAAUUCUCUUCUAUGAGAUCAGCUCUUAGCUUUGUAUUCCCUGGCACUUAUGGAGUAUGUUAUGGAGGUAAGAGAAGAAAAUAAGUGCAACAUGCCAGAAAUCCAGUAAAGCAGUUCAAGUAUCAGAAGAGCGUGAAUCAAAACCAAGUGCAAGAAGAGGCACCUUGACAUUGAACUGAAGGCCACCAGGUACUCACUGGGUCAAUGACUCUUCUCAUUUUUAUUCUCCUGCCAGUGCUUCCAAUCGCUGAACUGAACUGGGAACAAAUCAACAAGGGAAACCAAGAGAUGCAUUCCUUGAAGUUCAGCCUCCAGGCCUCAAGUAAGGCAGAGGAAGAGAAUACAUAGAUCUGUGGAGAAGAGUGGUGAUGGUGGGAGCUGCCAAUAAAGAACUAUCAAAAAAGGAUGAUGCAACAGAAAAGCCGUCACCAGAUACCAGCACCUUAAUGUUGGACUUCUCAGCCUCCAGAACUGUAAGAAAUAAAUCCCUGUUCUUUAUAAAUUACCCAGUCUCAGGUAUCCUGCUAUAGCAGCACAAAAUGGACUAUGAUAGAAAAUUGGUAUGAAGGAGUAGUACCAUUGUUAUAACAAAUACCUAAAAAUGGAAGCCACUCUGGAACUGGGUAAGGGGUAGAGUAUGGAAGAAUUUAGAGGAGCAGGCUAGAAAAAGCCUAAAUUGCUGUGUAUUACUCCAGGAUGGUAAGAAAUAAAUCUCUGUUCUUUAUAAAUUGCCCAGACUCACAGCACAAAACAAAUUAAGACAUUAAGAUUUGCCCCAUUCUUAGAAUUCAUUUCUUCCAUUUUCCCUUUAAUUAAAUCAAUGCCAGCAUCUAAGCAGUGUGCACCUUUUGACCAUAGUCUUUCUAAUUGACCAGAAGCUUAGAUGUGGAAAAUGCAAAAACUAUGCACAUUUCUGAUGGGUUUAACUUCUGAGAAAUUUUUACAAGGUUUUCCUUAUUUUAUCUGCUCCAGUAAACCUGUGGUUUCAUGAACAGGCCUAGAAUUUGAGAUUCAGCUUCUAAACUUCAAAGGUGACCUUUCAACCCAUUUGUUUAUAGACUCGGUAUUAACCUUUUGAGUUCUAGAAUAGGGUUUUAGAACUUACUUUCAUAAAAGUUUAUAUAGUCAAUUCCAUUCAUUUAUGCUAAGGACAUAGAAUAUUUCUAGAUUGCACAAUAUGUUUCUGUGGGAAUUGAAUGGAAAUCCAGGUUUCCUGACAAGAAACAAAGGAUCUUUGGGAGGCCGAGACAGGCGGAUCACGAGGUCAGGAGAUCGAGACCAUCCUGGCUAACA
rnacentral:lncRNA from 1 species